rfam:Beta vulgaris subsp. vulgaris chromosome 8, whole genome shotgun sequence.
AGCGAAGAUGAAUAAUGCUAAUAUUUCUGACACCUCUUGUAUGAGAAGAGCUUAAGUUUAUCAUAAAAUUUAGGUUCUUCACUGAGCAGAUAAAGCAAAUUUCUGAGCA